rnacentral:rRNA from 1 species
UACGUAGGGGGCAAGCGUUGUCCGGAUUUAUUGGGCGUAAAGAGCGUGUAGGCGGCCAGGUAGGUCUGCUGUGAAAUCCCGAGGCUCAACCUCGGGUCUGCAGUCGAUACGGGCAAACUAGAGUACUGCAGGGGAGACUGGAAUUCCUGGUGUAGCGGUGAAAUGCGCAGAUAUCAGGAGGAACACCGAUGGCGAAGGCAGGUCUCUGGGCCGAUACUGACGCUGAGGAGCGAAAGCGUGGGGAGCGAACAGG